AAAGAGGGAGGAAAAGAGGAAUGAAGGAGGGAAGGAUGUGCACAGGAGGGAGGGUUAGCGAAGAAAGGGGGAAUGGAGGAGGGAGGUACGGAGGAGGCAAGCCGGAGGGGCAGGCAGGAGAGGAGGAGAAGAAAGGGGGCAUAAGAGGAAGCAGCACGGAUGGGCGGAGGGGCAGCGAGAGAAGAGCGGGGUUCCUGCCUGCUAUUCUGCCUUCCCUGGUUCCUCUGGACUUGCGAAGAUUGAUCCUCAGUGGUCUGAUGGCUUCUUUGAUGUGUCUGAGGGUAGCCUAACAGGCAGAAGAAGACCCAAACAUCUGAAGAAUGUGCCUGGGAUGUGACUCUUCAGCAGACACCAAAUGCACUCCAGAAAAGAAGCACUGAAAGUAUCGCUUUAGUAUGAAUGAACCUGCCCUACCUACUGAACUUUUCAACUUAUUUUACAGUUACUGAAGGAACACAUUAAAGGCAAGAGUCAGAAGUGACUAUAAAUUAUCUCAGUGGCCAAGAAAGACUUGCUCCCCAUGCUCUUGCUCCCAUCCUUCCUGAUCCACGUGUUCUUGUCUCCUCAAGCACCCAUCCUUCCUUGUUCAGGUUAUAACAGGCUUCGUUGUGAAUUGACAUGAUCCACUGCUGACUGAAUGUGGUUCCCAAAAAGACCUCAUUAGCUGUGGAGCUGGCAUGGCACAAGCAUCAGGAGUGAGUGGUCAGUGCUGGGGCAGAAAGGAAGGGUGGGAAGGGCAGGUAGCAGUGUACAUCAGCUGUGGAGGGGUGUUGAGUCAGCUUCCUAGAGCUGUGGAACCAUCCCUCAAAGAUGAACAGUCUGUCUUGCAACUAAUGACAGUGAAAAUACUAACUAAUAAGGUUCUAUAAACUCUGGUUAACAGUGUUGCUAAAAUUACUAAUGAAGGCAAAAACUGGAAGGUAAUGUUCUUCAAGCCUGUCUUUGCUGCAGGUAUUCCACUGAUAAUGGAGUAAUAUGCAGUUGAAACUUAAUUGGAACACUAAGGAAAGCUUGAACUAUUUAUGGUAUUUAAUAAUUUAAUAGUACAAAGUGCACUGAUUGUAGUAGUAUUAAUUUUUCUAUUUAAUUUAAUUAUUACUUAUAUUUCUUAAUUAAUAAUGCAAGAGUGUAUUUUUGUGUAGCACUUUUUUUUGUGUAGUUUACAUUUUGCACCAGAAUUUAAUCAAGAUCUUCCUGUUGCUUGUAAAAAAUGAAUACAUUCUGGUAUACACACAUUCUGAACACUUGCUCAAUUCUGUCAUCUAUGAGAUCCCUGCAAGGCUCAUAAAGAUGAUCUUAUCACUAAAUAUUUAUUCCAGGAUGUGUAAGAGCCCUCUAAUUUUUACAUUCUUAUGUUUACAACACUCAGGUAAAAACAGGGUGUUUUAUUUCUCCCACUACAGCUGGGAUAUCAAAGCACAGAGAUGUUAAAGUCUGUACUCAAAAAGGUUAUUUAAGAUCAUGCAUCCCACUAGAUGACCUGCCUAGAGUGCUAAGAAAAUCUUUUGUGGAGCAAGCACUGAACUUACAUUUGCCAAAUCCAGGAGGAUCUUCCUUACUACUGGACUUACUGUCUCACUAAGAUUGCAUUAAAGAGUUCUUUAAAGCUAGGUUUAGAGUACCUUGUUGAGUGGGAAUAAAGAUUUUCUUCUAAGGGAAGUUUUGAAUGUAGGUCAUAGGAGGGCAGAAAGGAUAUAAAAUAGCUGCUGAUGCACAUGAUGGCUUUUAUGGGCAAGGAAAAUGAGAGCUGUAAUGUUUUAAUGUUUUGGGAAAAAAACUUUAUCCAUGACAUGAAAAACAAGCUUAAAUUAAGAAAUAUUGGGUUAUACUGAAGCCCUAAGGGAUUGAAGUCAGUAGAGAAUAGUCAUUCCUCUGGAAAAAUAAAGGAGGUACUCCAUAGAUUAACUUAGCAUUGCUCUAGAACAAGAUCUUGUUACUUAGAAAGCCAGUGUGCUGACAGCUGUGCGCCUACUUAGAAUGUAUAGCAUGGAAAAAAAAUAUAAAAUAAUAAAUUUUAAGCUUAUGUCUUAAAUGUGAAGAAAUAAGAUGCUGUAUUUGUGUAAUGGACUUGUUUUGGUGUAUUGAUGGUAAAUUACUUCUCAGUGUUUAAGAUCAUUUAUGAGUGUAACCAUGUCUAUAAAUUGUGUACCACUAUUUUAUAUGAAGCCAGUUUGGUUGAGAUAUUAUUAGUGGACCUGCAUGCAAUUUUUAUGGCUAAGAAAGCAAAUUUUAAAUUGAAGUGCAUAAAAUGAGGAACGAACAUUUUCCAAAGGAAUUUGCUCUGACGUGAAAGAAAUUCUUGGUGAGACCUCUAAUCUCCUAUGCUUGAUAUAGGAGAUGAGCCUAAAGGAAGGAAAGAAGGUGAAUUCUCAACAGGUGGCAUAGACAGAAUAUACUUUAUAAUGACCUGCCUUGUUCUGGGAGUUUUAAGUAUCACUGGUAACAGAACUGGACUAGGUCUGUGCAUGACCUAGUAUGACUAGUCUUACUUUCUAGAAUAUAGUUUCACUUAAUGAAUUUUUUAUAUUUUUGUACAUUUUUAUAUUUUCAUACAUUUUAAUUCAACUUUUAGUUUUUAUUAUGACAUUUUAUUAAUAAAACUUAUUUUAUAUAAUGCAUUGUAUACUGAAAAAUGAGUAUUCAAGUUAUUUUACCGGUUCCAUGAGUAAUGUAUUUUCUAUUCACAAUAUUUUCUUCUACAGUCUGUAUAAAUGUGCUGUAUAAAAUUUAUAUGUUAUAACAAUAAAUUAUUCUCU
ensembl:lncRNA